rnacentral:rRNA from 1 species
GAGAUGAGUCUUCCCUGAUACUUUAAGUAUCCUAAAGGGUUGUUCGAGACUAGAACGUUGAUAGGCAGGGUGUGUAAGCGUUGUGAGGCGUUGAGCUAACCUGUACUAAUUGCCCGUGAGGCUUAACCAUACAACACCCAAGGGGUUU